rnacentral:rRNA from 1 species
GCAUAUCAAUAAGCGGAGGAAAAGAAACCAACUGGGAUUGCCUUAGUAACGGCGAGUGAAGCGGCAAUAGCUCAAAUUUGAAAGCUGGCGUCUUCGACGUCCGCGUUGUAAUUUGUAGAGGAUGCUUCGGCGAGGACUCCUGCCUAAGUUCCCUGGAAUGGGACGUCACAGAGGGUGAGAAUCCCGUAUGUGGCGGGCGGUCCAAGCCAUGUGAAGCUCCUUCGACGAGUCGAGUUGUUUGGGAAUGCAGCUCUAAAUGGGAGGUAAAUUUCUUCUAAAGCUAAAUACCGGCCAGAGACCGAUAGCGCACAAGUAGAGUGAUCGAAAGAUGAAAAGCACUUUGGAAAGAGAGUUAAAAAGUACGUGAAAUUGUUGAAAGGGAAGCGCUUGCAACCAGACUCGUUCGCAGUUGCUCAGCCGGCCUCUUGGCCGGUGUACUCUUCUGCGGUCGGGCCAGCAUCAGUUCGGGCGGCUGGAUAAAGGUGUCGGGAAUGUAGCUCCCCUCGGGGAGUGUUAUAGCCCGGCGCGGAAUGCAGCCAGCCUGGACUGAGGAUCUCGCUUCGGCAAGGAUGCUGGCGUAAUGGUUGUAAGCGGCCCGUCUUGAAACACGGACCAAGGAGUCUAACAUCUAUGCGAGUGUUUGGGUGUCAAACCCAUACGCGUAAUGAAAGUGAACGGAGGUGGGAACCCGCAAGGGUGCACCAUCGACCGAUCCUGAUGUCUUCGGAUGGAUUUGAGUAAGAGCAUAGCUGUUGGGACCCGAAAGAUGGUGAACUAUGCCUGAAUAGGGUGAAGCCAGAGGAAACUCUGGUGGAGGCUCGCAGCGGUUCUGACGUGCAAAUCGAUCGUCAAAUUUGGGUAUAGGGGCGAAAGACUAAUCGAACCAU